AGUCAGGAUCCAUCCCUUCCCAGACCUCAUUUAGGGAUUGGCAGUGGAAGUAAGAUGUUCCUAUCUGGGAAUCUCUGCUUUCUUGAGGGACUUACUGCCCUUCUGAAGUGAGACAACAUCUCAGGACCUCAGGAUCUGAGAGGCCAGACAAAGAAGUAAUGGAAGGUUGGAAGGCGAGAAGAGUUGCACUGCAGAAUAACAGAUGUGAUCACAUGAUCAACCUCUUCAAUAUAGAGCUAUCUAAAACAAAAAUAAUGCUUGUUGCUAUGUGCAAAGAUCCUGCUAUGGCAUGGAAGUCAUUCAUCCCUGCUAUUCUCCCCUGUCAGAGAACUGAAUAUGAUAAUUUGUAUGUGGGUCAGCCAAGCUGACGAGAUGUUAGUUGAAGGACCCUAAUUUUUGGGAAACGGUAAAGUUGCACUGCUGCUGAUAGAAGGUGCCGUGUGUGAAGAGGUGUUAUAUUGCCACCUUAGGGCAUGUAUUCUAGCAGUCCACUUAAAAACAUGAGAACAAGAAGGAAUUUCAGAACAGCUGGGUUGUUUUGCAGCAGUCCCUAUACUGGUUUUAAUCUGCCUUCCCAUACUGUCUCUGUCAUAUUCAUCCAGUAAUAUUUGUAGUAAGUGCCAUGUGCAAGAACUGCCCACUUUGGAUCUAAGUUUUUUAUUUGGUUUCCAUGAUUUUCAUUAACAGAUGCGUCACAAGAGUCAUCUCUGUGAGACAGUCAACUGAGUGCAUCACCUUAAAAGCAGCUUACACUUUGAAAAGUGAAAGUGUAUGAGUGAACAAGUGUUUCAUUUUCAUUUUAGUCUCUGUGACAAAUUUGUAUACUUCCUGCACUGAAAUGGAUUAUUUGUCACCAUUUUAAAAUCGGGUGGCUAAAAUAUGGUUUGUGGUCUCAGUGGAGCAAAAGAAGUAAACUCACUAAGCAGAGAAGGCCUAAAUGUUUACAAUCUUAUGGUCUUUCCCUCAAGUCUCAUUUUUUCAGCUGCCUAUUCCUAUUUAGAUAGCUUGUCAACCAGUUCUGAUCUGUGUAAAUAAAAUUUAUUUUUC
ensembl:lncRNA